AAAACUUAGAAAUUAUCCCUGUUCUACCUAAAAAGCAGACAUGAGAAUGCUCAAAGCAUCAGCACUAUAGCAGAACUCACCAUAGGAGUUUCUGCUGCCAGAAACAUAUCUAUGUUAUCUGACCUAGACAGACUGAUCUUGUUGUGAGAGAGUGAGGAGAACUAGCAGAUGAAACGACCAAAGUAUCCUACUCAUCCCCAGAGAACUGUGACUUCAGGAAAUGACUGGAAACCAAAGUUGGCCUUUUAAAAAGAUGAGGACUUCUACAGAAAAGUGGCCCAGAUGCUUGGACAUGGUGGCACACCCGUCUACCGCUAGUGCUCUGGAGGAGUACCACAGCAGUUCCUGGCACUUAGUAGGUACUGAAUCAAGGAACCCUGUCUCUAAACAAACAAAUAAGCAAAGGAAAAGGUGAAUCAGAAGAAAAGCUAUAACUCAUACUGGCAAAUGAUUUAGAUAUCUGACAGAAGACGUAGAUGGAAGGACAAUGUACCACAGCCACCAAAACCCAGGAGGGUAAGGUAAGUGAUUGGGAGCACAGAUUCUGGAAGUCUAACAUGCCCACAUGGGCUCAGAGGAGAAGGAGAAACAGCAGAAGCAAUCACCAAAACGUAAGUGAAAGUUGAGAUCUCUGAACUGUGGGGAUGGUAGUUUUCUGGUAAGAAGAGUUGAGUCUGAGACAGGAUUAAGGCUACAAAUCUAACAAAACCAAAUAAAAACACACAACCAGACGUGCUCAGGAAGCUCCUGAACAUUCAGCACAGAUGACACUGAAUUUGCUGCAGGGUCUCCUCUUUCAAUUGCUACACCAUCUUCCCUAACUACCGUCAUUCAUAUUCAACGAUACUGAUGUGGGGGUGCUAAGGACUAGACUUCAUGUCACAGUAUUUCAAACCCCGUUGCCACAAGGCUAACUGUGGCAUCUGAGAACACUGCGCCUCAGCCCUGCACUUCGCUCUCCAUAGUCUUGCUUGCUCAUUCCUUACCAGCACCAAUCCCAAGAACACCACUCGGUGAAACUUCUGCAGGCAAAUUCCCAUUUCAGGAUGCCAAGGAAUCCUGGCUUAUGGUUCUAAGUACAAAGUUUCUGAAAUCCCCAAACCAAACCAAAGCCCAAAACUGCCCCCUAAAUCCCCAUCCCCUAAACCAGUGCUGUUUUCUGAUGGAGACAUGGAAUUAGUGAAUAGGGAAGGGAUGUUAGAUAGGUUUUAUACUUGGGUAUAACUUUGUAAUCUGAAAGGCAUUAAAA